AUUGGACGCUGGCGGCAGGCCUAACACAUGCAAGUCGAACGGUAACAGGAAGCAGCUUGCUGCUUUGCUGACGAGUGGCGGACGGGUGAGUAAUGUCUGGGAAACUGCCCGAUGGAGGGGGAUAACUACUGGAAACGGUAGCUAAUACCGCAUAACGUCGCAAGACCAAAGAGGGGGACCUUAGGGCCUCUUGCCAUCGGAUGUGCCCAGAUGGGAUUAGCUAGUAGGUGGGGUAACGGCUCACCUAGGCGACGAUCCCUAGCUGGUCUGAGAGGAUGACCAGCCACACUGGAACUGAGACACGGUCCAGACUCCUACGGGAGGCAGCAGUGGGGAAUAUUGCACAAUGGGCGCAAGCCUGAUGCAGCCAUGCCGCGUGUAUGAAGAAGGCCUUCGGGUUGUAAAGUACUUUCAGCGGGGAGGAAGGGAGUAAAGUUAAUACCUUUGCUCAUUGACGUUACCCGCAGAAGAAGCACCGGCUAACUCCGUG
rnacentral:rRNA from 1 species